GAUGAACGCUGGCGGCGUGCCUAAUACAUGCAAGUCGAGCGAACAGAUGAGGAGCUUGCUCCUCUGACGUUAGCGGCGGACGGGUGAGUAACACGUGGAUAACCUACCUAUAAGACUGGGAUAACUUCGGGAAACCGGAGCUAAUACCGGAUAAUAUAUUGAACCGCAUGGUUCAAUAGUGAAAGACGGUUUUGCUGUCACUUAUAGAUGGAUCCGCGCCGCAUUAGCUAGUUGGUAAGGUAACGGCUUACCAAGGCAACGAUGCGUAGCCGACCUGAGAGGGUGAUCGGCCACACUGGAACUGAGACACGGUCCAGACUCCUACGGGAGGCAGCAGUAGGGAAUCUUCCGCAAUGGGCGAAAGCUUGACGGAGCAACGCCGCGUGAGUGAUGAAGGUCGUCGGAUCGUAAAACUCUGUUAUUAGGGAAGAACAAAUGUGUAAGUAACUAUGCACGUCUUGACGGUACCUAAUCAGAAAGCCACGGCUAACUACGUG
rnacentral:rRNA from 1 species